UACGUAGGGCGCAAGCGUUAUCCGGAAUUAUUGGGCGUAAAGAGCUCGUAGGCGGUUUGUUGCGUCGGCUGUGAAAACCCGGGGCUCAACUCCGGGCCUGCAGCCGAUACGGGCAGACUAGAGUUCGGCAGGGGAGACUGGAAUUCCUGGUGUAGCGGUGAAAUGCGCAGAUAUCAGGAGGAACACCGGUGGCGAAGGCGGCCAACUGGACGAAUACUGACGCUGAGACACGAAAGCGUGGGGAGCAAACAGG
rnacentral:rRNA from 1 species